GGAGCAGCCCAGAGCCUGAAUCAGUGUGUGUGUUAGUGGAAGCGUCUGGAAAGGCGUGCGAUACAGGGUGACAGCCCCGUACACAAAAAUGCACAUACUGUGAGCUCGAUGAGUAGGGCGGGACACGUGGUAUCCUGUCUGAAUAUGGGGGGACCAUCCUCCAAGGCUAAAUACUCCUGACUGACCGAUAGUGAACCAGUACCGUGAGGGAAAGGCGAAAAGAACCCCGGCGAGGGGAGUGAAAAAGAACCUGAAACCGUGUACGUACAAGCAGUGGGAGCACGCUUAGGCGUGUGACUGCGUACCUUUUGUAUAAUGGGUCAGCGACUUAUAUUCUGUAGCAAGGUUAACCGAAUAGGGGAGCCGAAGGGAAACCGAGUCUUAACUGGGCGUUAAGUUGCAGGGUAUAGACCCGAAACCCGGUGAUCUAGCCAUGGGCAGGUUGAAGGUUGGGUAACACUAACUGGAGGACCGAACCGACUAAUGUUGAAAAAUUAGCGGAUGACUUGUGGCUGGGGGUGAAAGGCCAAUCAAACCGGGAGAUAGCUGGUUCUCCCCGAAAGCUAUUUAGGUAGCGCCUCGUGAAUUCAUCUCCGGGGGUAGAGCACUGUUUCGGCAAGGGGGUCAUCCCGACUUACCAACCCGAUGCAAACUGCGAAUACCGGAGAAUGUUAUCACGGGAGACACACGGCGGGUGCUAACGUCCGUCGUGAAGAGGGAAACAACCCAGACCGCCAGCUAAGGUCCCAAAGUCAUGGUUAAGUGGGAAACGAUGUGGGAAGGCCCAGACAGCCAGGAUGUUGGCUUAGAAGCAGCCAUCAUUUAAAGAAAGCGUAAUAGCUCACUGGUCGAGUCGGCCUGCGCGGAAGAUGUAACGGGGCUAAACCAUGCACCGAAGCUGCGGCAGCGACGCUUAUGCGUUGUUGGGUAGGGGAGCGUUCUGUAAGCCUGUGAAGGUGUGCUGUGAGGUAUGCUGGAGGUAUCAGAAGUGCGAAUGCUGACAUAAGUAACGAUAAAGCGGGUGAAAAGCCCGCUCGCCGGAAGACCAAGGGUUCCUGUCCAACGUUAAUCGGGGCAGGGUGAGUCGACCCCUAAGGCGAGGCCGAAAGGCGUAGUCGAUGGGAAACAGGUUAAUAUUCCUGUACUUGGUGUUACUGCGAAGGGGGGACGGAGAAGGCUAUGUUGGCCGGGCGACGGUUGUCCCGGUUUAAGCGUGUAGGCUGGUUUUCCAGGCAAAUCCGGAAAAUCAAGGCCGAGGCGUGAUGACGAGGCACUACGGUGCUGAAGCAACAAAUGCCCUGCUUCCAGGAAAAGCCUCUAAGCAUCAGGUAACAUCAAAUCGUACCCCAAACCGACACAGGUGGUCAGGUAGAGAAUACCAAGGCGCUUGAGAGAACUCGGGUGAAGGAACUAGGCAAAAUGGUGCCGUAACUUCGGGAGAAGGCACGCUGAUACGUAGGUGAAGCGACUUGCUCGUGGAGCUGAAAUCAGUCGAAGAUACCAGCUGGCUGCAACUGUUUAUUAAAAACACAGCACUGUGCAAACACGAAAGUGGACGUAUACGGUGUGACGCCUGCCCGGUGCCGGAAGGUUAAUUGAUGGGGUUAGCGCAAGCGAAGCUCUUGAUCGAAGCCCCGGUAAACGGCGGCCGUAACUAUAACGGUCCUAAGGUAGCGAAAUUCCUUGUCGGGUAAGUUCCGACCUGCACGAAUGGCGUAAUGAUGGCCAGGCUGUCUCCACCCGAGACUCAGUGAAAUUGAACUCGCUGUGAAGAUGCAGUGUACCCGCGGCAAGACGGAAAGACCCCGUGAACCUUUACUAUAGCUUGACACUGAACAUUGAGCCUUGAUGUGUAGGAUAGGUGGGAGGCUUUGAAGUGUGGACGCCAGUCUGCAUGGAGCCGACCUUGAAAUACCACCCUUUAAUGUUUGAUGUUCUAACGUGGACCCGUGAUCCGGGUUGCGGACAGUGUCUGGUGGGUAGUUUGACUGGGGCGGUCUCCUCCUAAAGAGUAACGGAGGAGCACGAAGGUUGGCUAAUCCUGGUCGGACAUCAGGAGGUUAGUGCAAUGGCAUAAGCCAGCUUGACUGCGAGCGUGACGGCGCGAGCAGGUGCGAAAGCAGGUCAUAGUGAUCCGGUGGUUCUGAAUGGAAGGGCCAUCGCUCAACGGAUAAAAGGUACUCCGGGGAUAACAGGCUGAUACCGCCCAAGAGUUCAUAUCGACGGCGGUGUUUGGCACCUCGAUGUCGGCUCAUCACAUCCUGGGGCUGAAGUAGGUCCCAAGGGUAUGGCUGUUCGCCAUUUAAAGUGGUACGCGAGCUGGGUUUAGAACGUCGUGAGACAGUUCGGUCCCUAUCUGCCGUGGGCGCUGGAGAACUGAGGGGGGCUGCUCCUAGUACGAGAGGACCGGAGUGGACGCAUCACUGGUGUUCGGGUUGUCAUGCCAAUGGCACUGCCCGGUAGCUAAAUGCGGAAGAGAUAAGUGCUGAAAGCAUCUAAGCACGAAACUUGCCCCGAGAUGAGUUCUCCCUGACCCUUUAAGGGUCCUGAAGGAACGUUGAAG
rnacentral:rRNA from 1 species